UACGUAGGGGGCAAGCGUUAUCCGGAAUUACUGGGUGUAAAGGGAGCGUAGACGGUGAUGUAAGUCUGGAGUGAAAGGCGGGGGCCCAACCCCCGGACUGCUCUGGAAACUAUGUGACUGGAGUGCAGGAGAGGUGAGCAGAAUUCCUAGUGUAGCGGUGAAAUGCGUAGAGAUAUGGAGGAACACCAGUGGCGAAGGCGGCUUCCUGGUCUGCAACUGACACUGAGGCGCGAAAGCGUGGGGAGCAAACAGG
rnacentral:rRNA from 1 species